GACGAACGCUGGCGGCGUGCCUAAUACAUGCAAGUAGAACGCUGAAGGAGGAGCUUGCUUCUCCGGAUGAGUUGCGAACGGGUGAGUAACGCGUAGGUAACCUGCCUGGUAGCGGGGGAUAACUAUUGGAAACGAUAGCUAAUACCGCAUAACAGUAGAUAUUGCAUGAUAUCUGCUUGAAAGGUGCAAUUGCAUCACUACCAGAUGGACCUGCGUUGUAUUAGCUAGUUGGUGAGGUAACGGCUCACCAAGGCGACGAUACAUAGCCGACCGGAGAGGGGGAUCGGCCACACUGGGACUGAGACACGGCCCAGACUCCUACGGGAGGCAGCAGUAGGGAAUCUUCGGCAAUGGACGGAAGUCUGACCGAGCAACGCCGCGUGAGUGAAGAAGGUUUUCGGAUCGUAAAGCUCUGUUGUAAGGGAAGAACGAGUGUGAGAGUGGAAAGUUCACACUGUGACGGUAUCUUACCAGAAAGGGACGGCUAACUACGUG
rnacentral:rRNA from 1 species